rnacentral:rRNA from 1 species
GAUGAACGCUAGCGACAGGCCUAACACAUGCAAGUCGAGGGGCAGCAUAGAGGUAGCAAUACUUUGGUGGCGACCGGCGCACGGGUGAGUAACACGUAUGCAACCUACCUGUAAGAGGGGAAUAACCCGGAGAAAUUCGGACUAAUACCGCAUAAAACCAAGAAUUCGCAUGGAUUUGUGUUUAAACAUUGAUGGCUUACAGAUGGGCAUGCGUAUGAUUAGCUAGUUGGUAGGGUAACGGCCUACCAAGGCAACGAUCAUUAGGGGUGCUGAGAGGAAGGUCCCCCACACUGGUACUGAGACACGGACCAGACUCCUACGGGAGGCAGCAGUGAGGAAUAUUGGUCAAUGGGCGAGAGCCUGAACCAGCCAAGACGCGUGAAGGAAGAAGGUUCUAUGGAUUGUAAACUUCUUUUGUAAGGGAAUAAAAAGAGUUACGUGUAACUUAUUGUAUGUACUUUACGAAUAAGGAUCGGCUAACUCCGUGCCAGCCGCCGCAGUAAUAC